GUUUGAUCCUGGCUCAGAUUGAACGCUGGCGACAUGCUUUACACAUGCAAGUCGAACGGUAACAGGCCGCAAGGUGCUGACGAGUGGCGAACGGGUGAGUAAUGCAUCGGAACGUGCCCAGUCGUGGGGGAUAACGCAGCGAAAGCUGCGCUAAUACCGCAUACGAUCUGUGGAUGAAAGCGGGGGACCGAAAGGCCUCGCGCGAUUGGAGCGGCCGAUGUCAGAUUAGGUAGUUGGUGGGGUAAAGGCUCACCAAGCCAACGAUCUGUAGCUGGUCUGAGAGGACGACCAGCCACACUGGGACUGAGACACGGCCCAGACUCCUACGGGAGGCAGCAGUGGGGAAUUUUGGACAAUGGGCGCAAGCCUGAUCCAGCAAUGCCGCGUGCAGGAAGAAGGCCUUCGGGUUGUAAACUGCUUUUGUACGGAACGAAACGGUCCUGGUUAAUACCUGGGGCUAAUGACGGUACCGUAAGAAUAAGCACCGGCUAACUACGUG
rnacentral:rRNA from 1 species